rnacentral:rRNA from 1 species
GACGAACGCUGGCGGCGUGCCUAAUACAUGCAAGUCGAACGCUUCUUUCCUCCCGAGUGCUUGCACUCAAUUGGAAAGAGGAGUGGCGGACGGGUGAGUAACACGUGGGUAACCUACCCAUCAGAGGGGGAUAACACUUGGAAACAGGUUCUAAUACCGCAUAACAGUUUAUGCCGCAUGGCAUAAGAGUGAAAGGCGCUUUCGGGUGUCGCUGAUGGAUGGACCCGCGGUGCAUUAGCUAGUUGGUGAGGUAACGGCGCACCAAGGCCACGAUGCAUAGCCGACCUGAGAGGGUGAUCGGCCACACUGGGACUGAGACACGGCCCAUACUCCUACGGGAGGCAGCAGUAGGGAAUCUUCGGCAAUGGGCGAAAGUCUGACCGAGCAACGCCGCGUGAGUGAAGAAGGUUUUCGGAUCGUAAAACUCUGUUGUUAGAGAAGAACAAGGACGUUAGUAACUGAACGUCCCCUGACGGUAUCUAACCAGAAAGACACGGCUAACUACGUG